rnacentral:tRNA from 2 species
GGAGAGAUGGCCGAGUGGUCGAAGGCGGUAGACUCGAAAUCUAUUGUACGUUUGCGCGUACCGGGGGUUCGAAUCCCUCUCUCUCCGCCA